GUCAGCUCGUGUCGUGAGAUGUUGGGUUAAGUCCCGCAACGAGCGCAACCCUCGUUCCAUGUUGCCAGCACGUCGUGGUGGGGACUCAUGGGAGACUGCCGGGGUCAACUCGGAGGAAGGUGAGGACGACGUCAAAUCAUCAUGCCCCUUAUGUCUUGGGCUUCACGCAUGCUACAAUGGCCGGUACAAUGGGUUGCGAUACUGUGAGGUGGAGCUAAUCCCAAAAAGCCGGUCUCAGUUCGGAUUGGGGUCUGCAACUCGACCCCAUGAAGUCGGAAUCGCUAGUAAUCGCGUAACAGCAUGACGCGGUGAAUACGUUCCCGGGCCUUGUACACACCGCCCG
rnacentral:rRNA from 14 species